CGGAGGUAGUGUGAUACCGUAACGUACGGAAAUAAUCAAGAUGAAUACAAAGACGUGUUUUUUUGUUUUGGUAAUAUGCGGCCUCUUGGCUCUUCAGGUUUCCAACGUUGAAGGUAUCUGCUACACAUACGUGUGCCGCCGGCGCUGCAUCUACAGUGCACCACGUUACGAGGAGUACGCCUUCCGCUACCUGUGGACAAAGGCGUGCGGACGCGAGGCUGUGCAGCGCUACGGCAUGAAGGCCUGCUGCGUCACCUGGGGGCGCUAUUAGCCUUUCAAGAGAAACAACUGGUGUCGUUGCAUUGUAGAUGCCAGAGGUCAAGGUCAAGGUUUCAUGUCACUUUCAUCACGAAGCACAUACCAUACACGAGAGGCGAUACUUGUAUUUAUGUAUGUGUGGUUAUUAAUGGUUUUCAUGUAGUUUUGUGAGUUUUUGUGGUAAA